UGCUUCUGCUGGAGUUUCACAAAGCCGGGGCCUCACCCAGGAGAUGAGGACAGGUGACUGGUGGCGUGAGGGGACCUCACCUUCCUGCAGCAGAUGCCCCAGGGCCUUCUGGGCAGGAUGAGGUUUCUGUGCCAGGCCCAGCCACAGCACCAGCCACAAACGGUGCUCAGUCACCUGGGGUUCAGGUCAGGAGUCAGCCGAGCUUCGUGGCAGCCCACAGAGAAAGCUACCAACAGCUCCCUGCAGAGUGAGGACUGGGCGCUCAACAUGGAGAUCUGCGACAUCAUCAACGAGACGGAAGAGGGCCCCAAGGAUGCCUUCCGGGCCUUGAGGAAGAGAAUCUCGGGGAACAAGAACUUCCACGAGGUGGCGCUGGCUCUGACGGUCCUGGAGACCUGUGUCAAGAACUGCGGGCACCGCUUCCAUGUGCUGGUGGCCAGCCAGGACUUCGUGGAGGGCGUGCUGGUGCGGGCCAUCCUGCCCAAGAACAACCCACCCACCGUGGUGCACGACAAGGUGCUCGGCCUCGUCCAGUCCUGGGCUGACGCGUUCCGAAGCUCGCCUGACCUGACGGGCGUGGUGGCCGUCUACGAGGACCUGCGGAGGAAGGGCCUUGAAUUCCCCAUGACGGACCUGGACAUGCUGUCACCCAUCCACACGCCCCAGAGGACCGUGUGCGCCUCAGAGACGGCAGCAGGACAGAGCGCUCUGGGUCCCGCAGCCAGACAGCGAGGAGACCUGAGCCAAUGCCCGACUCCCGCGCCCACCCUCGCCACACUGCCCGGUGACACGGCCAUCACGCCCACCCCCGAGCAGAUCGGGAAGCUGCGCCGUGAGCUGGAGCUGGUGACCGGGAAUGUGCGAGUCAUGUCGGAGAUGCUAACGGAGCUGGCACCCACUCAGGCAGAGCCCGCUGACCUGGAACUGCUGCAGGAGCUGCACCGGACGUGCCGCGCCAUGCAGCAGCGGCUACUGGAGCUCAUCCCACACAUCUCCAAUGAGCAGCUGACAGAGGAGCUGCUCAUGGUCAACGACAACCUCAACAACGUGUUCCUGCGCCAUGAGCGGUUUGAACGGUUCCGGACAGGCCAGACCGCCAAGACCCCCAGGGAUGCGGAGCCGGCAGCCGACCCGAUCAGCACAGCUGCUGACGCCACAGCCACCAGCAGCCUGGAGUCCCAGCUGGCUGGAACAUGGGAGGAUGGCAGGCUCACCACCCUGGGGCCCAGCCCGAGCCUUGCAGACCUAGGCUCCAGCAGUGUGCGGGCUGGGCUGCAGUCCCUGGAGCCCUCGGGGCACCCGGAGGAAGAGUUUGACAUGUUUGCACUGACACGGGGCAGCUCACUAGCCGACCAGCGGAAAGAGGUCAAGUACGAAGCCCCCCAGGCAACGGACGGCCUGGCUGGGGCCCUGGAUGCCCGGCAGCAGAGCACGGGAGCAAUCCCCGCCACCCAGGCCCGCCUCAUGGAGGACAUUGAGCAGUGGCUGUCCACGGACGUGGUGAGUCAGGGGCGUCCCUGGCCCACCCGGAGACCGAGGCGCUGUGAGGCCAGGCUGGAGGGGCCGACGCGCAGCAGGAGCCUGGCUGGGCCCUGGCACACAGCGAGCGAGGUGCCUGUGAUUCUCGGGCACAGCACGGCCGCCCACAUCACAGACCAGCAGGCAGGCGGCUGCCUGGGGCUCUCUCCUCCCCUCAGGGAGGGACUGCAGGCCAGGCCUGACCCCCUGCUGUUGCACCUCAGCUGUGCGUCAGGGUGUCAGCUUGCUUCCCCGGCCAUGCUGGGGCAGAAGGCACCCUGGGGCCCGUGCCCAGCACCCUGCUGAGUGACUUCAUCCUCCACAUGGUAAAGGGCCAGCCGAGGCUCGGGCAAGCCAGGGGCCGCAGCUCUGCAAGGGGCUGAGGUCGGGCUGGCUGUGGUCCAGGUGCCUGAGCGCUGCCUCAGCCCUGAGGCCCCCUGGCCCGACCUGUGACCUGACCCGUCCUUCUGUGCCCUAGGGGAACGAUGCAGCGGAGCCCACCGGCGUCACCAGCGAAGAGUUCGACAAGUUUCUGGAAGAGCGGGCCAGAGCUGCUGACCGGCUGCCCAGCCUCUCCAGCCCGUCGGCCACCGCCCCCCCGGGCCCCGCUGAGGGCGCAGCGCCCCGUAGGAAGGCACAGGGGAAGGCGGAGGACACGCUGUUCGCCCUG